GCUGGCUGGCUUACUUCAUGACAACAUCAGGAAAGGUGUUGGCCCGAUGUCUUGGCAUCACGCCCAGCCAGGUUGACCCUGGAACUGACCACCACCAGUUUGACCAACCGGAUUUGGCACAGCCUGGUGAGGAGAAGUGGACUCUCCCCAGGGUCUCCAGAUGGGAGCCGAGCCCAGGGGUGGUGGCCUGGCUUGGGCACCUGGGCUCUGGCGGGCUAACUGCAGGUCAGAAAUGCAUCGUGUGUCCCAGAGGCCUGGUGGGGUGUCACAGGCAGAGCCUCCGUGACAGGCUGGCUGCCAGGACAGUGAGGGGCAGAUGCUGUGUAGCUGUCUGGACGUCGGCCCAGCCCCGUGCUCACUCCAAGGUGGGCUGGAGCUAUCUCCACACCAGCAGGACACAGGUCUCGGGACAGUGCUGCUAGUGAGGCCUGAUGGUCGCGUCUGCUGGGGAGACCUGGGGAGCAGCCGGGACCCUCCACCUAGGGCGGGCCCUUUCCUCCUCUUCCUCUUCUUGUGCGGCCCCAGGAAAGGAUUUCAUUUGACAGAGUUUCUGUUCAAGUUGUCAGUCAUGCCGAUCGCCUGGGAGAGGCAGCUGGACGCUGGUCCCCACCCGAGCACAGAGGAGAGGGGCUCAGACUGUGUGGUGGCCACACCCAGGUCCCAGGAGCCUGUGGUGCCUCCAGCACCCUGCUCCUGGUCUCCCAGACAGUGCCAAGAGAGGAGAUCUUGGUGCCGUGGGAGACUGCUGGCCUGUGGGUACAGGCUCUGAGCAGACCCUGAGAGCCACAGAACACGGAGGAGCCCUGGGGCGUCGCACCAGCCUCGAGAACUCAGAGGCCUCCCUUGACAAGACAGUAAAUCAGGGGGUAAAAAAGUAACCUGUGACUCUGGGCUUACGAAGUACCUGCUGCUUGAUGUGCACAAGUGUGUCCUUGUGAAUGUCACCCUCGACUGUCCCACCGGUGGUGAGUGUCACCUUCGCGCCUGCUAUUAUGGAUUGAGCAUCUGCUCAGGCCAGGGCCACUGUUCCCACCCGUCAACUCAUUUCCCCUUCCCACCAACCCCCUGAGGGGGGCCUUAUGGCCAGCACGAUUUCCAGACAAGGAACAGAGUCCAGAGAGAUCCAGAUGCUCGCCUGGAGAUGCACAGCCAGGAAGGGUCAGUACCACAGUCACCCCUCCCAGCCUGUCACCCUCUGGAGAGGACAUAGGCUCCUACGGCCUACACUCCUGCCAGCAGGUACGGUCACUCCUGGGCACCCAGCCCAUCCUGGCCUUGCACCUGCGCAGGGUGGCCCCCGGGUGGCUCACUGCACUGGGCCAGGCCCUCCUAGGGAGCCUCCCUAGCAGGAAGACAGUCCCACUUGCUGUCCUGACGCCUCUGUGUCUUCAGCAAGCCUCGGGAGAAAGUGUUUCCUCCUUGGGCUUCGAAGACACCGUGGGAAACAGCCCUCAGGCUUGGAGAAGUGAGGCUCGGCUGCCUUGGGAACGGCAGGGCUCUCCUCCACCUGCAGGCGCACCUCAGGGAGGCCCAGGGCGGAGCUCCCGGCCCAGCCCGGGGGUGCUGAGUGAGGCUGAGGGGCACAGGCUCAGAGCCAGGGAGCCCGAGCGCUCUGUCCACGUCCCCCAGAGGCUGGCCGCACAGCGGGCAGGAAGCACAGGCAGGUCCUCACGGCCCAAGGCAGUCUGAGGAAGUUCUGCUUUUUGUUUCAUCUGAUGGAACAAAAAUCCAGUGCCAGCCCUGACCUCAGGGCACGCGGCCCAGGAAGGGCCUGAUCCUUCUCCAAGUCCACAGAGAGACUGCCAGGAGAUGGCUCCAGGGACAGGAUCCCAAGACUCAGGAGACAGGGUCUCUCAUCAGACAUUCUGAACUCACAGAAUCAGAGACUUUGGAACAAGCAGCAGGGGACCCCAGGUCUGCCCGGCGGAUCAGGACCCCAGGCGCCCGGAGACUCCAUGCCGGAGCCUGGAUCAGCACAGGGCCCCGCGAUGGGCAGGCGCUUGACUGGUAAUGCUCUCCUCAGCCUGG
rnacentral:lncRNA from 1 species